GUGGGGAAUUUUGGACAAUGGGCGAAAGCCUGAUCCAGCAAUGCCGCGUGCAGGAUGAAGGCCUUCGGGUUGUAAACUGCUUUUGUACGGAACGAAAAAGCUUCUCCUAAUACGAGAGGCCCAUGACGGUACCGUAAGAAUAAGCACCGGCUAACUACGUGCCAGCAGCCGCGGUAAUACGUAGGGUGCGAGCGUUAAUCGGAAUUACUGGGCGUAAAGCGUGCGCAGGCGGUUAUGUAAGACAGAUGUGAAAUCCCCGGGCUCAACCUGGGAACUGCAUUUGUGACUGCAUGGCUAGAGUACGGUAGAGGGGGAUGGAAUUCCGCGUGUAGCAGUGAAAUGCGUAGAUAUGCGGAGGAACACCGAUGGCGAAGGCAAUCCCCUGGACCUGUACUGACGCUCAUGCACGAAAGCGUGGGGAGCAAACAGGA
rnacentral:rRNA from 1 species